GGGGAAGAGCAAAUUCCCAUACCGUGGCUUCAUUUCAAUAUAAGGUGGACUCCCCUACCUGGAGGAGGAAAUGCUAGUAAUCCCAAGGCGCAUACUGGCGGGGUGACUUUCCGGGCCUUGGACGCACCCCCCGUCACACCAUGGAAGUUGGCCAUGCCCGACGUCGUUACUCCAACCCUUGUGGAGGAGGACACCGAAAGUGGGGCUGAUGACUGGGGUGAAGUCGUAACAAGGUAUCCGUACCGGAAGGUGCGGCUGGAUCACCUCCUAA
rnacentral:rRNA from 1 species